rnacentral:rRNA from 1 species
GUCUACAGCCAUACCACCCUGAACAUGGCCAAUCUUGUUUGAUCUCAGAAGCUAAGCAGGGUCGGGCCUGGUUAGUACUUGGAUGGGAGGUUCUGGAGUGAUGAGGGAG